rnacentral:rRNA from 1 species
GAAGCGGCAACAGCUCAAAUUUGAAAUCUGACCCUUUGGGGUCCGAGUUGUAAUUUGCAGAGGGUGUUUCGGGCACUGUGCCGGUUUAAGUCCUUUGGAACAGGGUGUCAUAGAGGGUGAGAACCCCGUAUGUGACCGGUCGCCGAACCUAUGUGAAACCCCUUCGACGAGUCGAGUUGUUUGGGAAUGCAGCUCAAAAUGGGUGGUAAAUUUCAUCUAAAGCUAAAUAUUGGCCAGAGACCGAUAGCGCACAAGUAGAGUGAUCGAAAGAUGAAAAGCACUUUGGAAAGAGAGUCAAACAGCACGUGAAAUUGUUGAAAGGGAAGCGCUUGCGACCAGACCUGCUCGCGGGUGAUCAGCGGUGCUUUUCGCGCCGUGCACUCAUCCGCGAUCAGGCCAGCAUCGGUUCAGGCGGCCGGACAAAGACUCGGAGAAUGUAGCUCCCUCCGGGGAGUGUUAUAGCUCCUUGUGCAAUACGGCCAGCCGGGACCGAGGACCGCGCU